rnacentral:lncRNA from 1 species
CCAUUGAUACCUACUUGUCAUCAUCAGCCCGGCAGAGCCCGAUGGGGCCCACUGACAAGAUGAGCGCCACAAGCCAUCCCCCAACAUUCCACAUGGCUGCCAAAUGUUUUAUCAGAGGAUGGGCACAGUGCUGAAAAAAGGAUUUCACAGUCUUGACUCAAUACAAGGCAGCAUUUAAGCAC